ensembl:lncRNA
GGAAAUAUUAAAUUAAAUUAGAAAUUUUAGAUGUAGAUUAAUAGAUUCUAGCAUGUGUCUAUGUGGUUUCUAUGGUGUUGCUAUGCGGUUGCUAAUGCACCCAGGGUGGUUGCUAAGAUGUUGCUUUGCGGUUGCUAGGGUACCCGGGUUGGUUGCUAGAGUGUUGCUAUGCAGUUGCUAGGGUACCUGGGGUAAUUGCUAGGGUGUUGCUAUACAGUUGCUAUGGUACCCGGGGUGGUUGCUAUGGGUAUGCAGGGUGGUUGCUAGGGUAUGCAGGGUGGUUGCUAGGGUGUUGCUAUGCAGUUGCUAAGGUACCCGGGGUGGUUGCUAAGGUGUUUCCAUUCCUUUGGCUCACCGGUUCCUGCACAGUUUAAAAAAAGUAGCUAAUACACUUAAGUAAUUUGCAGAUCUGGAAAAGCAUGGAAAAAAGAGAACAGAGUAUGGAAAAAUAUUUGUGUUUCGACUGUUUGCCAUAUUCAGUGUUCUAAAGUAUAACAUUAAUUUCUAAAAAUAAAUUUGAUCAAUAGAGAGCUUUCAUGACAAACGUUUAGUAAUCAUCUGAAGAAGACUGAAUUAAUUCAAGGCUCACUAACUCUUAUACAGUCUUUUUUUAACUUUACUUAACAAAUGUGCGUGUGCCACGCAAACAAGCAAAAGAUAAAGAAGCAAAUAUGUAGGCCUAGUAGAAAAUGUAUCUGUAACUAAGCUGAUUAUUAGCCUACUCUUGACAGAGAGCUGGUUUGGUUUUUGAUAGACGCCCAGAGACGGCAACGCAGCUGUUUGAUUGGUGAUCGCACAGUGCUUAUUCCAUUCAUUCAUGUGUCAUAUCAUAGCCUAUAAGGUUUAAAUCAUUGCCUUUUAAAUAUACACGAAUAGUAGAAAAUGUACAAUGUAUUAUUUUAUUUGAUAUUACUCUUGCCAAGCUCUGAUUUCUGAGAGAUGCACAGAGAGGCAACAGCAAUGCGGUGUUUGAUAUGCACUCUUUUCAUUCAUAAAAUUUACAUUCAUUCACUUCACACACUCAUUAUUGCAUGAUUUUAGGAGGUUUGUGUAAAAUAUUGUGCCGAUCCCCUGGCUCACCUGUGAAUAUAGCAAGCAUCAGAGUGUUCCAGCCUCAGCCAAAUAUUCAGGCAGAAUUAUUCAUUAUCCUUUAUUAGUUUUUGAAGCCAUUAUCUCUGCCUUUCUGAAUAAGGUAUUCGGCUUCGGGCACACCCCUAUUACUCACCUACAAGGUUUAGCUCCUGCGUACCUAGCUAGUCUUCUACCACGCUACAAUCCAUCAUGCUCCCUAAGGUCACAAAACUCUGG